rnacentral:rRNA from 1 species
AUUGAACGCUGGCGGCAGGCCUAACACAUGCAAGUCGAGCGGAUGAGAGGAGCUUGCUUCUCGAUUCAGCGGCGGACGGGUGGGUAAUGCCUAGGAAUCUGCCUGGUAGUGGGGGACAACGUUUCGAAAGGAACGCUAAUACCGCAUACGUCCUACGGGAGAAAGCAGGGGACCUUCGGGCCUUGCGCUAUCAGAUGAGCCUAGGUCGGAUUAGCUAGUUGGUGAGGUAAUGGCUCACCAAGGCGACGAUCCGUAACUGGUCUGAGAGGAUGAUCAGUCACACUGGAACUGAGACACGGUCCAGACUCCUACGGGAGGCAGCAGUGGGGAAUAUUGGACAAUGGGCGAAAGCCUGAUCCAGCCAUGCCGCGUGUGUGAAGAAGGUCUUCGGAUUGUAAAGCACUUUAAGUUGGGAGGAAGGGUUGUAGAUUAAUACUCUGCAAUUUGACGUUACCGACAGAAUAAGCACCGGCUAACUCUGUGCCAGCCGCCGCCGUAAGAC